GACGAACGCUGGCGGCGUGCUUAACACAUGCAAGUCGAACGGUAAGGCCCUUCGGGGUACACGAGUGGCGAACGGGUGAGUAACACGUGGGUGAUCUGCCCUGCACCUCGGGAUAAGCCUGGGAAACUGGGUCUAAUACCGGAUAGGACCACUGCCUGCAUGGGCGGUGGUGGAAAGCUUUUGCGGUGUGGAAUGGGCCCGCGGCCUAUCAGCUUGUUGGUGGGGUGAUGGCCUACCAAGGCGACGACGGGUAGCCGACCUGAGAGGGUGACCGGCCACACUGGGACUGAGAUACGGCCCAGACUCCUACGGGAGGCAGCAGUGGGGAAUAUUGCACAAUGGGCGCAAGCCUGAUGCAGCGACGCCGCGUGAGGGAUGACGGCCUUCGGGUUGUAAACCUCUUUCAGCACCGACGAAGCGCAAGUGACGGUAGGUGCAGAAGAAGGACCGGCCAACUACGUGCCAGCAGCCGCCGUAA
rnacentral:rRNA from 1 species